rnacentral:tRNA from 1 species
GGCCCGGUAGCUCAGUUGGUAGAAGCAGCGGAUUGAAAAUCCGCGUGUCGGUGGUUCGAUUCCGCCCCAGGCCA